rnacentral:misc_RNA from 1 species
AGUCCAUCCACAAACAAAGUUGUCAGAGCGACCGAUGAAGUUGUUAAAUCUGAAGACACCAAGUCUAAGGAGCGAUCAACUUCAGAGAAGUCAAUACCUCGUGCUGUCAAGCCUUCUGCAGCAGUAGAGAAGCAGUCGGUUAAUGGCGUUGCAGCAGACCCUAUUGGGGAUGCUCGGAGCAAGGUGCAGGAGGAGAUCAAUCGUGAAUUUGCUGCAAUCAAGGCUACUGGUACACUGCGUGCAAGUGAAGCUGCGGCUCUUGCAACUAGGAGAGUGAUGCAAAGAUAUGGGAAUUUGCAUUGAAUCUGAGUUAGAAAUUAUGACAGCAAUUGACUGCAGACAGUGGUUUUGAUGUCAUAUCCAUCAUAACCUGUUGAAUGUGUUACUGCUGCAAAUUAUGACUCUGCUCAAUAUGAACAGAGAAAUUAAUAUAUCACACUAUCUAUUUCUUCUAUUACAUAAAGAGGAAGGAAAAUACACAUUAGGAAACAGAGCCUCACAAAAUGGCUAGAGUGGUACCAGCUAGUACCUUUGAAUGCUAAUACUUUUUACUGUUCAAUUGCUAAAUUAAAGAAUGACAGCUGUGUAGCACUUUCAAUAAUACUAGUGCAUAUGGCGCAAUGCUUCUCACUAGAAUUAAUCACUGAAGAUUGUGUAGUGAUUUAACAGAACUACCAAUAUUACGCUAUGAAAUGCCAACUGCUCCUUGCGGGGAUGGUGACUGAUCUUGAUGAGUUGAAUUAAGAGUUUGGUUUUCUGAUUCAACACUUGCUUCUAUUGAUUGGCUACAAGUAUCAGAAGGAAUGUUAAUUCCAGCAAACCCAAUCAUCACAGCUAUGGCUCCAAGGUAAUCCAUGAAGCGAGGGGCGUUGCCUGUUAGUGAAUCUAUAAUAGCUGCUAAUGGAACCUGAAUUGUAAGACCAGCUGUUGCAACUGUGGUGGUUGUCAAAAGAACAGCCUUUGCCCAUAAAUAGUCACUCAACACAUUAUCUAACAAACCUUUGCCAAUGAUUAGACCAAACUGCUUCCAGGUAAUCAUAUUAAACGGCUCUAACAUGGUGAAAUCCAGUAUAAGGGGAAUGGGAAGGAAAAUGAAGAGGUUGAAAAGCCCUAGGAAUCCAAGGAACUGUGCCAUACUGGCUUUACCAC